CCAGACGGCCGGACGGCCGCCCUCGGCGCCGACGUGUCGGCGUCGGGGGAGGAAAGUCCGGGCUCCACGAAAAAACGGUGCCGGGUAACUCCCGGCGGGGGUGACCCCAGGGAAAGUGCCACAGAAAGUAAACCGCCCGUCUUGCGAGACGGGCAAGGGUGAAAGGGUGCGGUAAGAGCGCACCGCGCGGCCGGUAACGGCCGUGGCAGGGUAAACCCCACCGGGAGCAAAACCGAAUAGGGAUGGCGCGCCGUGUGCCGGCUUUGCCGGCGCUUGGCAGGCGUGUUCGCGCCGCCGUCCGGGUAGGUUGCAAGAGGCAUUCGGUGACGAAUGCCGUAGAUGAAUGGCCGUCGAUCGCCACAAAAUACCCCUGGGUAGGGCCGUGGUGUGGACAGAACCCGGCUUACAGGCCGUCUGGCGCC
rnacentral:RNase_P_RNA from 1 species